ACGAACGCUGGCGGCAUGCCUAACACCUGCAAGUCGAACGAGACCUUCGGGUCUAGUGGCGCACGGGUGCGUAACGCGUGGGAACCUGCCCUUAGGUUCGGAAUAACUCCCCGAAAGGGGUGCUAAUACCGGAUAAUGUCUUCGGACCAAAGAUUUAUCGCCUUUGGAUGGGCCCGCGUUGGAUUAGCUAGUUGGUAGGGUAAAAGCCUACCAAGGCGACGAUCCAUAGCUGGUCUGAGAGGAUGAUCAGCCACACUGGGACUGAGACACGGCCCAGACUCCUACGGGAGGCAUCAGUGGGGAAUAUUGGACAAUGGGCGAAAGCCUGAUCCAGCAAUGCCGCGUGAGUGAUGAAGGCCUUAGGGUUGUAAAGCUCUUUUACCCGGGAUGAUAAUGACAGUACCGGGAGAAUAAGCUCCGGCUAACUCCGUG
rnacentral:rRNA from 1 species